rnacentral:sRNA from 1 species
UUCGCGCGCUCGCUCUUUCUGCCUCCGCCCGAACUAUGCCUGAGUCCCUCACAGGAGUUGGGUAGUAGAGGCGAGAGAAGGAAGUCUUUGCAGGCCAAAAUUGGGACAACCUGCUUGGACUUCCGCCUCCCGGCCUCCGGAAGGCAGUGCGCAAGCGCUCGCUGCGACUCCGGCGCGGUUGACUUCCGCUCCCACUGUGCUCUGCGAGCCGAAUCAUGGAUCACACUGACAAUGAGUUACAAGGCACUAAUAGUUCUGGAUCCUUGGGUGGUCUUGAUGUUCGCAGACGAAUUCCUAUAAAGCUCAUCUCCAAACAAGCAAACAAAGCGAAACCUGCACCGCGAACUCAAAGAACUAUAAACAGGAUGCCUGCAAAGGCUCCACCUGGUGAUGAAGGUAAUUUGUUUAACUAAUAGGUCCAACACUCUUUCUGUUUUAUCUGAUUGCCUCGGACAGUCUGUGUGAUCUUAUAGCUACCUCUUUUUGUCUUACAUAUUCUAUUCAUUCUUCAACCUUGUUUGACUUCUCAUUGUAGCACAUUGUAUUUUUAUUUUCCUUUAUAAAUAUUUUUUGAUUUGGUUCCUUUUGUUGUUGAAAGCAAUACUGCCCAUUGUUCAAUAAUCUCAACAGUAUCGCAGAAAGCAUAACAUUAAAAGUAAAAU